UGCAAGUCGUGGGGCAGCAGGUGUAGCAAUACAUGCUGGCGACCGGCAAACGGGUGCGGAACACGUACGCAACCUUCCUUUAACUGGAGAAUAGCCCCUCGAAAGAGGGAUUAAUACUCCGUAACAUAUUGAUAAGGCAUCUUAUUAAUAUUAUAGCUCCGGCGGUUAAAGAUGGGCGUGCGCCUGAUUAGGUAGUUGGCGGGGUAACGGCCCACCAAGCCUUCGAUCAGUAACUGGUGUGAGAGCACGACCAGUCACACGGGCACUGAGACACGGGCCCGACUCCUACGGGAGGCAGCAGUAAGGAAUAUUGGUCAAUGGACGCAAGUCUGAACCAGCCAUGCCGCGUGGAGGAUUAAGGCCCUCUGGGUUGUAAACUCCUUUUAUCUGGGAAGAAAUGCUUUGAUUCUUCAAAGUUUGACGGUACCAGAGGAAUAAGANNNNNNNNNNNNNNNNNNNNNNNNCGGUAAUACGGAGGGUGCAAGCGUUAUCCGGAUUCACUGGGUUUAAGGGUGCGUAGGCGGGUAAGUAAGUCCGUGGUGAAAUCUCUGAGCUUAACUCAGAAACUGCCGUGGAUACUAUUUGCCUUGAAUAUUGUGGAGGUGAGCGGAAUAUGUCAUGUAGCGGUGAAAUGCUUAGAUAUGACAUAGAACACCAAUUGCGAAGGCAGUUCACUACACAAUUAUUGACGCUGAGGCACGAAAGCGUGGGGAUCAAACAGGAUUAGAUACCCUGGUAGUCCACGCCCUAAACGAUGAUUACUCGACAUCAGCGAUACACUG
rnacentral:rRNA from 1 species